UUAGUUUGUAAGUAUUAGUUUCGGUAAUUAAUUACAACAAAAAAGAAUGGACGGGCCGGCCAUUGAAAGAGGUUCUAACUAAGGCAAAAGACAGAGAGGAAUGAAGAAAGACGGUCAACGAGUCUGGCAUGGUGCCACAACGGUCCUAUAGACUAAGGGAUAGGUAAAGCUAACUCCAGUGAUGAAAAGAAUUAAGGAAUCGAUAAGAAAAAAGUGUCAAAUACGCAAUUAAGAUUUAUGAAUAAAUAAAAAAAAAACAGCUUAAAAA